UCCAUUUCCUUAUCCAACGGGAGAAAUACGAGCUCAGUAUCAGCAAGUAAACGAGACUCAGAAGUAGGCUACAGAAAGUCACUAUUUACGUUUUUGCUAAAUACCCCGUCAACCUGGGCACCCUAUGGAGGGACAAAGCUCGAACAAAUUAUAAAACAGUAGGCUAAUAUCUCGCUGUAGAAAACGUAAUGAAAACUUUGUUCAUUGCUUGCAAGUUCCCAGGCAUGUUUUUUUCUGGAUUUGCUCUGCGCUGAUACAAGUCUGACAGUUUACAACAAAGUAAUUUGUAAGGAGAUUCUCGACAGGCUGUUCCAUUACAGCAAGUGGUCCAACUGCUUCUGUUCUGUUGGCCUCCACCACAUCUAAGCCGCUUCCAAAAUCUUCUUUACACUGGAAGACGAAUACCAAGAUGGCAGCGUGGUGGCUUCAGUACAUGCCCCCUGUCAGUCAUCCAUGGUUUAAAUACAUCGUUGGGUACAACAGUUGCCAGCACAAACUGUGAAACCAGGGUGGAGAGCAGAAGAAUAAUUCAGUCUGGGACUCGCUGACCACAAACGAAGUGCCCCGUCAGCAAUAACCAACAAUAAGUCCCUCCAGCUCCAGCAAACUUUGGCCCAGAGAAUCCCAGUGAUUUCUUAAACUGAGCUGUGAGCCCCUGCUUGGUAUGCUGUUCAGGCUGGCUUGCCUGAGAGAGAGAGGUUGUGCACAGCAGUACUGCCCAGUGCCCAGUACAGCAGUGACCUCUGGCAGCUAGAUUCCAUGCUGCAGUGUUCCCUAUUGGCCACUCAGUAGCGUAGAAACAUCCGCUACAUUCGUUAGCCCUGUGAAAAGGGGGUCGCCCAGGGAUACGGCCGGACCAAGCCAUUUCUGGGGUGAAAUUGCGGCGGGAAAAGCAAAUAAAAGCCCAACGUUGUCACCAUAAAUCCCUACGAAGAGGUAUAGCUGCGCUUAACAGAUUGUGUGACGAGUGUGGCUGUUUCUGUGGUAUGUGUGUGGGUGCAUAAUAUGCAUGUGAUGUUUUGUCUCUUGGUGGUGUGGGAGCUGUUCCUCCCUAAGCUCUGUGUGUUUCUAUGCUAGCUAGGACGUUCUCUGAACACUACAGACAGCACUGGUCAGGUUUCAUGUGGAGUCAGACAAUAGCCAUGCAGAAAUAAACCCAUGACAACCCAGGAGGGUUUAUGUUGUGGCAAACAUAAAGUGGAACUUUAGAUCGAUGUAUAGCCUGAAGUCUGACUUUGGUUGUACAGUAUAAACAUUCUAAGGAAAUGGUCUUAGUCAAACUUUUUAUUUUCUAACUGUGAUGUGAAGUUUGCUCACAGCCCACCCGGUUGUUGAAUUGUUAUUGUCAUGCUAGAUAUUAAGUCUUUAUGCCAAAUGCCAUCUCUGUCCUCACACAACCCUUUGCAGUGGACAUGUUACAGCAGUUACUCAUUCUGCAGUACAUCCUGUGGGCUGCAUAUUCUGUGGUAAAUGCUGAGUGUGCUGCUAAGGUUAAUAGUGCAGGUGAAGUGAGAGGGGAUGAAGACCGAGUGAGUUGGGUGUCCUAUUUUACUGUCUCUGUUAGUGUUUUUGUUAAAACAUCAAGUCCUCGCUUCACUGCUCUGCAGCACAAGGUCUGUCUGUGUGAUCUGAUGGCUGUGCUAGAACAGGACAGAGCAYGUGUGAGAUCAACAGGUUCAGGAAUGACGUUGGCUCUUGACCAACAUAUACUGCUCAUGGCUUACUGACGUGAUAUUAUAAGACCGGGACUUUGUGUGUUUUCUACUAUGUUAAACUUAYUGUGUCUAAUCAAUGUGCAUACUGUGUAUAAAAAACAUUAUGAUUCUGAUUAAGGCCAAUGUAGGCCGAAAUGUUUAUCUUUUAACCUUGCUUAAAUAAAACAACAAAUGUU